GUCUAUGUCACAGAGAUAAAACUAUUCUAUCUCUAUGGGUCUAUGUCACAGAGAUACAACUAUUCUAUCUCUAUGGACUAUGUGCUCAGCUGCUCUGUAUGCAGCAGGGUGACAUCAUGUGACUAGCGUUUCCAGGAUACCUGGAGUGCGGCUAAGCUGCCCAAUUAAAGCUUGCCUUGAAAACCAAUGCCUCAUACAGUUUAAGUGAUUGCUCUCAAUGAGGGUUUGCUUCAUGCAGAUUGCGACCAGGGUAUGACAAGAAGGAUUAUUUGUCAAUUGAGAGACGACGAGAGAAAAUCCAAUAAAAUCAUAGGCUAUCACUACACAAGGAGGCAGAAAAUGGAAACCGUGGAAAAAUGGAACAAAUGCCUAAUAUCACCUAAAUUGUUGGAUAGAAAAGUAUUUCCCAAACAAAAUGGCAAGACAGGCAUGAUUGUGAAGCAUCUUCACAACACAUUCAGACUUCAACAUAGUUUACAGAUACAGUCCAUCAGUCGCUCAGAAUGUGCCACUGGCUCCUGUCCAAAUUUGAUGAUGAGUAGGAAUGAGCACCACGAGCCUCGGCCUGUCCCUGUUGCCCUCACCCCCCAGCUUGUCCCAAGGGCACACCGGCCCCUCUGCCUCUCCGUCUCCUCAGAUAGCAAUGGCCGCUUCAAAGCUCUGGAGACCCAAGAGUGGAAGAACAAUCUCAAAGCCCAGAUGGAGCAGGCCCACAGUGCAGGAGCAGCCAGCAGCACAGGCUCCCUGGAGAGGGCCUCAUUGUUUUGUGCCUCUGGUUCCACCACGGCCUCCAGCUCUGGCCUAUCCAGCCCUGUGGAGAACCUCACCAAGAGCAAGUCCUCCAGCCGCUUCUCCCUAUUUUCCCCUCCCUGGAACAGUAGCUCAGAGUCCGACUCCAACCCCCCCUCCCGCUCCGGCUCCAAGAAGCUGCGUAACUACAGCAUGAGAGCUGCCACAGGUCCUGCCGGGGUGGGGUCAGUGGGCAGGGCGGGUCCACCAGACACCCCAGACACGCCCAAACAGAACGUCCCGGAACACUUCCAGUACUCUGAGCCCGUCAUCUCCAAGGUGACGGACUACAUCUUCGUGGGCAACCUGAACGCAGCGUACAACGGGCGCACGCUGUGUCGCAACAACAUUGACAGCAUCAUCGACAUGAGCAGCAUGCCAGGGGACUCCGGCCCAAGUCUCAGCCUUAUCCCCUGCACCUGCUCCCGAGGAGCCCGCCACAGCUGGUCUCGCCUCAAGGUGGACAUCUGUGAUGUCCCAGACGCACUGGGCGAGGGAAGCCCCGCCCUGAAGCAGCACUGCUUCGAGGACAUCAACGAGUGCAUCGAGGCUUCCACAGAAAAAAGGAAACGAGUGCUGGUCCACUGCCGUGACGGGUACUCCCUGGCUCCGACCUGUAUCAUCCAGUACCUCAUGGUGAAGCAGAAUAUGCGUCUGAUCUCGGCUUAUGAGCUGCUGAGGGCCAAGUACCCCGUUAACAUCAGGGAGUGUCACCAGAAUGUGCUGGUGAGCCUGGAGAGAGCUCUGCGGCCUGGAGGCAACGUGGACCCAGAGUGCUUCAAGCAGGCUAUCUCAAGGAAAGUGGCCUGGACCUGACCUGGCUCCUCCCCUUCCACUCCCCUUUCCCUGUAGUUUGGCCCUCUUUAUUUUUCUAAUCUAACCGUGGCAUUCAAUGGAUAUUUUUCUAUGGACAAUUUUUGAAAGGCAGCUUUACUUUCUGUCAUAGUCAACUGGAUAUGGAGAUGUUGCCACUAACAGUGAGCUUCAAAAGUAUUGGGACAGUGACACAUUUUUUUAUGUUUUGGCUCUGUACUUCAGCCCUUUGGAUUUGAAAUGAUACGAUGACUGAGGUUAAAGUGCAGACUGUCAGCUUUAAUUUUAGGUUAUUUUCAUCCAUAUCUUGUAGAAGUGUUUAGAAACCAUAUUCUAUUCUUAUUUACAAUAAAAGUGACUCCAAAAUGACACUACACAUUAUUUACCAUUAAUUUCUAUUGAGCACAAAAUCAUCUGAAACACCACCAAAGCAAAUGCCUCUAACAAGUUUAGAGUCUCACAAGCUUGAUGUAAUCAUUGCGUGCUAGGAAUAUGGGACCAAAUACUACACUUUUGACCAGUUUAAUACAAAUAUAAGUGAAUUUGUCCCAAUACUUUUAGUACAGCACUUUUUGCACAUACCUUCUUAACGGUUCACCGGAUAUGGAUGAAAAUACCCUAAAAUUAAAGCUGACAGUCUGCACUUUAACCUCAGUCAUCGUAUCAUUUCAAAUCCAAAGUGCUGAAGUACAGAGCCAAAACGACAACAAAUGUCAGUCCCAAUACUUUUGAAACUCAAUGUACUUGCGACACAUCAAAAUGCUUGUGAAAAUGUAAAUGCAAGUUGAUGUAUUUGUCCUCUUCUGAGCCCGUGAAUUUGACUUUGUGAUGUUUCUCCAUAAGCGAUUAGAUGUUUUACUCUUUACAUCUGCUAGAUAUGGAAAAUGUUUCAUUCUAGACAGUGACUUCAGGCUGAAUAAGCCCUGUGCUACCUUGGUUUUAUUGUGGUUGUGUUUUUAUUUCAGGGGAAUUUGAAUGGGAGUUCUCAGGAGAACUAAUGAUGAUGUCAUUCCAAUAUAGCUGCAAACACUGCUAAUCUAAUCUGAAAGCUCUGUGUGAAUAAUGGAGGAUGUCACUGCUCUCUUGGAUCUACAUCGGCCAACCACAGGAGCAGAUCAUUACUGUACUUUAUCAGCGACAUGCAGGGGACUUUGCACAUGGAUGCCGAUUUGUUGUUGUUGUAACUCCCUCCCUCACACCUCAAUUGGUCUGUGACCCUCCUGCCACAGACAGACAUAACAAUGUGGUAGCCUCCUCAAGACAUUUUCCAUUAUGGUUCAGAAGACCAGGUGGAAGACAACGAUUUAUCAUAGAUCAUCCUCUAUGAGGAAAACUAACUUACAUGACGUUCCCUAUCACUUUAACUCACCGUUGUAAACAUUUGCUGUGCUACUUCUUGGAAACUGUGGCUUUGUAAUUUCAGCUGUUGUGUAUGCAAUGAAAAUGGAUGGUCAGUAUCUAUCUCUCUGGAAUGUCAGUAUUAGUAUAUUAUAAAUCAGACUGAAUGGUGAUUCAGUGUUGUACUGCGGGAAAUUCUAUUGCACUACCUAAAAAGGUUCUCCAGAAAUGCACAGUUUGAUGGGUAUUAGUAAGCUGACAUGAAUUUCAACACCAGUCAACUUUUUUAUUGUCCUUGUUCUGUGGUAUGGAAAUGUAUUUCUAAAAUUAUUGUUUUGAAGACUUUGUGCUCUAGUGUUCGAUUCAGUUAAUUUGGUCCCAAUAUUUUUCCCUUAAAGGGACAGUUUGUUCAAAAGUAAUAUUUCAAUUAUUUGACUUAUCUUGGAAGUAGUCAUAGACCAGUAGUGACUACGUCUAGGAUUAGGGGUUCAUUAUUUUGCUUCAGCCACAACAGGCUAAAUGUUAACAUUCUCUACCUCAACACAAGGGUUGAAUGUUGCCCACCUUUAGAACUGUCUGAAUUGCAAAAUCAACUCAAAUUAACAUAACAUUGGAAAGCAAAACUUCAUCUCCAGGGAGUUGUGUAGAGGCUCAUAUGAUUUAUAAAAUAGUCACAUUUCUGUAAAAAAAAAAAAUAUUUUAAAAAGAUGGCUUGCUACAGUAAUUUAUCAUAUUCAUAAAAUACCACUGAUCCAAUGUUAUUGUAGUAUGAUUAUGAUCAUUAACCACUUUUAUCUGACAGAUUUAAUAUUAGAAAUGCUUAUUUUUGUCAGCAGUGGUUGUAGUACAUGUUUGUUGUUCUGUGACCAGUAUGGGUGGAAUGGAAGCUUCAGUACAUGAGUAUGGUGCCUUUGCUUGAAUUUGUCUUGUGCGACUGUACAGUGACACUUGCACACUUUGUAUGCAGUUGUUGGGCGUUGAUAAACAUUUUUCUACUUUAAAAUGUUGCCUAUUGAUGCUGUCAAUGUUUUUAAUUGGAAUACAUGACGUAAGGAUCUUAUGUGAGAAUACAGUUAUGUGAAUUGGUUAUUGCUGUAACAUGUUUUGGUGGUCAGUGAGUGCACAGUCUUAUGUACUAUGCGAAAUGUGGCUGUGACCAUUCAUCCAUGAUGUGAUCAGGGUUACAGAAUGACCCUAACUUUCCCAAAAUUUCAAGGUGUUCCAGAAAUCCUUUUUGGAAGAUUCAGGAUUUUCUGUGUAUUUCCACCUGAUUCCUGGAAUCUACCAACUGGGAUUUCUGGAAAACCUGGGAAUUUUUAAACCCUAGAUGUGAUGAUUCAACAUCUGGUGCACUUCUGCACGCCAUACAAUUUAGGCCAUAGACAGAUGUUUUAACAUUUUCAUGGUGAAUAUACUAUAUUUAAAAAAUAAACAGUUAUAGAAGGUUUAUUUGACCCUUGUGAUGGUGUCUUUGGGUCGUCUCUCAACUUUGGUUUGGUUUUAAAACUUGUUCUCAGGUGAACUGUAUAAUGGCCCAGAAUGUUUUGACUGAACUGUAUAUGAAACCAGAAUAUGUGAAGCUACGCAUUUCCUGUCGAGUUUUUGGUAGGUGUACAUAUUAAAAAAGACGUUACAUCAUUGCCAUAUGUAUAUUGUUUGACCGGAUUAUUCUGUAUAGAAACGUGAACAAAGUUGAGUCUUCGUGUUCUCAGGGUUCUAUUCAUUAGUGUAUACCAUAGCAAAUGUUGCAAAACUUUUUGCAACAAAAAUACGUUUCUUAUCAGCUCAGGUUCAGGUAGU
ensembl:lncRNA